AGUUUGAUCAUGGCUCAGAUUGAACGCUGGCGGCAGGCUUAACACAUGCAAGUCGAGCGGGGAAAGGUAGCUUGCUACCUUACCUAGCGGCGGACGGGUGAGUAAUGCUUAGGAAUCUGCCUAUUAGUGGGGGACAACAUUUCGAAAGGAAUGCUAAUACCGCAUACGCCCUACGGGGGAAAGCAGGGGACCUUCGGGCCUUGCGCUAAUAGAUGAGCCUAAGUCGGAUUAGCUAGUUGGUGGGGUAAAGGCCUACCAAGGCGACGAUCUGUAGCGGGUCUGAGAGGAUGAUCCGCCACACUGGGACUGAGACACGGCCCAGACUCCUACGGGAGGCAGCAGUGGGGAAUAUUGGACAAUGGGGGGAACCCUGAUCCAGCCAUGCCGCGUGUGUGAAGAAGGCCUUUUGGUUGUAAAGCACUUUAAGCGAGGAGGAGGCUCCCAGUAUUAAUACUACUGGAGAGUGGACGUUACUCGCAGAAUAAGCACCGGCUAACUCUGUGCCAGCAGCCGCGGUAAUACAGAGGGUGCAAGCGUUAAUCGGAUUUACUGGGCGUAAAGCGUGCGUAGGUGGCCAAUUAAGUCAAAUGUGAAAUCCCCGAGCUUAACUUGGGAAUUGCAUUCGAUACUGGUUGGCUAGAGUAUGGGAGAGGAUGGUAGAAUUCCAGGUGUAGCGGUGAAAUGCGUAGAGAUCUGGAGGAAUACCGAUGGCGAAGGCAGCCAUCUGGCCUAAUACUGACACUGAGGUACGAAAGCAUGGGGAGCAAACAGGAUUAGAUACCCUGGUAGUCCAUGCCGUAAACGAUGUCUACUAGCCGUUGGGGUCUUUGAGACUUUAGUGGCGCAGCUAACGCGAUAAGUAGACCGCCUGGGGAGUACGUCGCAAGACUAAA
rnacentral:rRNA from 1 species